GAGGGUAGAGCUCAGUGGUAGAGUGCAUGUUUAGCAUGCACGAGGUCCUGGCUUCAAGCCCCAGUACCUCUG
rnacentral:tRNA from 1 species